rnacentral:rRNA from 1 species
GAAAGUUCGACCGGUGCGCCGCACACAAGCGUUUACCUAACGCUAAUAUGCACGAUCCACUUCGCCAACUGCCCGCCCACCCGCACCACAGUUUCCCCGCCUCCGCUCGCUGCCCCGCCUCCGCCGCUCGCCCCGCCCGCCGCCUUCCCUUCACGCCGCCCCCGCUCAGCCUCGCCUCCGCCCGCUCGCCUCCCUCCCCGCCCCCUCGCGGCCUCGCCGGAUCUCCCCGCCGCCUCGCCCGAUCUCCCCGCUUCCCCAUACAUCGCCCUCACCGCACCGGCGCGCUCCUCACUUCCCCGAGCAGGCGACCCAGGCUGCCUCUGCCAUUGGAACCACCACCUCAUCCUUAUGCAAGCCGUCGUCGGAGCCAUGACUGUGGGCCGACUUUUGCCGCCGUUGCCGCCGAUGGGAUCAUCCUACUUGUCCCUCCACGCGCCACCAAUACAAGCUGCGGAACCGCUGCCGGCACAGCCCUCAGCCGCAUGAAGGAAUUGUCGCCACCUCUUACAGUUGAUGGCAAGUUGACGACAUGUUGAUUUUCCGUCGUACUGAACUUGAUGGACAAGUUCUUAUGUCAACCACAACGAGCGAGAGCAAUUUAUAGGGCACCAGAUUUGCACAGCAAGAUCUAACAUCGACAGGGUGGAUGCAUGCACCUUCACCGCCUGCAGAGGAAAUGGAAAGAGAGGUGGAGCUGGUGCAGGCUUUCCAGGCCGUGGAGGCGGCCGCGCAGAGGUUCUUCGUCACGUACCACCAGGUCGUGGCGGCGGUGUGUGCCACGAUGGAGGCUUCGGGCAAACGGGCGCUGUUCGUGCCAGCGAGCUCCACAUUCUGGUUCGACAUGAAGAAAGAGUACAGUGAUCGCUGGAGAGUGGAGACAGUGGAAGAGGGUGGGAACCACAUGAUCAUUGCAGCGCUUUGCUACUUACCAUUGUCAUGUCGAGGGUGCUCCCGGGUGAUUGGCAAUGCAUGCCAGUUACCAUUUGUUGGUUAGGUAUUUUUACAAAUUGUAAUAGAAAUGGUAUGAGUUCUCAAGCAGGAGCUGGAGCUACUUUUUGUUCGUCAGUUUAAUUUUUACUAACCUGUAACUUAAGUUGCAACUGCUGUGCCAAGUGGCAGCUGGUGAGCGAGAUCAAAAAUGGAUCGAUGAGUGUCAGCAUCCUUGGUUCUGAAGCAAUUCGUGAAGCGUCUCCGGCCAGAACAAUCUGGUGCUUACAGAGUAUUGUUUACCUAGACGCCAUGUUGCUAGAUAAGUAUAAACACUGGGACUAUCAAGAAGCUGGUGAGUUUCUACCAUCCUUCAUUGUUAACAUGAUUAGACAUUCAAUAUAUUUAUUCAUAUUCAUAUAUUUUUUAAAUCUAUGCGAAGCUCAUGUUUAGAUACUUGAUGCUGACAUUUGCACCAAAAAUCUAAAAUGAACACAAUUAUUAAUGGAUGAUACUUUGAUCAAUAAUUUCUCUGGCUUCGGUCAUGCACUGAUUUUGCUAUAUUCUGUUCUUCUAAAAACAAUUCAUCACAAAAUUUCAGCUGAGCCCCACUGCAUCUUAUCCCGAAUCUCCAUCGAUUAUUUUUUCAAAGAUUUAUUGCAUUUAUGACUGCCUUGCCGGCCAUCAUCCCACUCCCCAUGGCAUGGAUGGAGUCUUAGGGCAAAGUUUAGGUGAUUAUUUGGCAAUGCAAAAUUAAUACACUCGUCUAACUUGGCUACCAUUUGUGCAUUACUUUCUUUGACAACAUAUUUGGACUUUGCAUGAAUACAGAAGUGAUGGUCGGAGUAAUAGUUCUGGAGAAAUAGAGUUGCAUUUUAGGAUAAUGGGUAAAAUUGGAGCUAUGAUUAGUUGUGGGUUUAAGAAUUGAGAUCUAGAAAAUGCAUUGUUCAUUUACUUCAUUUAAACUGGCAUGUCACUUGUCACAUCCAUGGAAAUAAUUUGCUGAAGAGACAACAAAGUUUAGUUUCAGGUCGUGUCUUCUUUUGUUUCACGGUUGUUUAAACUUUGUGGUGUCGCUGUUCCUGUCGGCCUUCAUUAGGUUGAUGUACUAUUCUCUUCUUAAUAAUAUAUUUAUACACGCAGCAUGUUCAUGGAAAAAAUGAAAUGAGUUUUUGCUACAUUUGAGCAUUGCAUUUUAAAGUAAAGUUUCAGCCAUUAUUUUCUAGCAGAAAUUCAGUGAUCUAUAUGCAAACAAAUCUCUCUAUUUUUAGUAAUCUUGUGGGACGUCAGAGAGCAGAUGACAUGAUCACAUCCCCAGUAAAUGUGUCAAUCAUACUAAACCAUUGACAGUUUCUAAUUUUGGAUAUUGAAAGAAUGAUAUUUUCUCGAGUAAAAUGCGAAUACUGAUUAAUCCAUUUUCUAUUUCUGAGCUAUCUUGAUAAUUCUUAGCUAUUUUGAUGUUUUGCUUGAUAGCAAUUAUUACUGUCUAAGAAGACUUAAGUGUGGGACACUGUGGUUUCAAAUCAGAGAAUUGUGUUUCGAGGUUACUAACAUACUAUUUCAUAUGAACUUUUUUUUCUUCAUUUACAUAUAGGCCAAGAUGUUCUCAAUAUGCCGCAUCUGGAACGUCUAGGAAAAGAUUAACCAUCUGAAGACUCGGUUAUCUGGUUUUAUUUUAAAUGAAGUUGUGUGUGUGGGGAGAGCAAUAAAUUCGUGUAUGAACUACCUGUGUUGGUAAGAAUUUAGGUGUUCCUAAAAUUGAUAAGAUGAUUAACCUGAUCUUGUUAGUCAGCUGGUUGUAACUAACAUAGUACACUCUUUUGUUUCCAUCGAAAGAUAAAAUAUGCCAGGAAUGAUGUGUUAUCGAUAAUUUUUGGGUUCACUGAACCACGAGCGAGGUGGGAGGAGAGUCAGGCAUAUUAUUCUGGAGUGGCAUAUUUUUGGGUUCACUGAAGCAGGAGCCUAGUCUGAUCGUAGAUGCUCUUAUCCCUUUAGCGGGAGAGGUUAGGAGAGAGAGAG